UACGGGGGGGGUAAGCGUUGUUCGGAAUUACUGGGCGUAAAGGGCUCGUAGGCGGCUAACUAAGUCAUACGUGAAAUCCCUCAGCUUAACUGGGGAACUGCGUGUGAUACUGGAUGGCUUGGAUUUGGGAGAGGGAUGCGGAAUUCCAGGUGUAGCGGUGAAAUGCGUAGAUAUCUGGAGGAACACCGGUGGCGAAGGCGGCAUCCUGGACCAAUAUUGACGCUGAGGAGCGAAAGCCAGGGGAGCAAACGGG
rnacentral:rRNA from 1 species